rnacentral:rRNA from 1 species
GACGAACGCUGGCGGCGUGCUUAACACAUGCAAGUCGAACGGAAAGGCCCUGCUUUUGUGGGGUGCUCGAGUGGCGAACGGGUGAGUAACACGUGAGUAACCUGCCCUUGACUUUGGGAUAACUUCAGGAAACUGGGGCUAAUACCGGAUAGGAGCUCCUGCUGCAUGGUGGGGGUUGGAAAGUUUCGGCGGUUGGGGAUGGACUCGCGGCUUAUCAGCUUGUUGGUGGGGUAGUGGCUUACCAAGGCUUUGACGGGUAGCCGGCCUGAGAGGGUGACCGGCCACAUUGGGACUGAGAUACCGCCCAGACUCCUACGGGAGGCAGCAGUGGGGAAUAUUGCACAAUGGGCGGAAGCCGGAUGCAGCAACGCCGCGUGCGGGAUGACGGCCUUCGGGUUGUAAACCGCUUUCGCCUGUGACGAAGCGUGAGUGACGGUAAUGGGUAAAGAAGCACCGGCUAACUACGUG